CGGCGAGUGAAGCGGCAACAGCUCAAAUUUGAAAUCUGGUCACCUUACGGAGGCCCGAGUUGUAAUUUGAAGAGGAUGCUUUUGGCGAGGUGCCUUCCGAGUGCCCUGGAACGGGACGCCACAGAGGGUGAGAGCCCCGUAUGGUUGGACACCGAGCCUAUGUAAAGCUCCCUCGACGAGUCGAGUAGUUUGGGAAUGCUGCUCAAAAUGGGAGGUAAACCCCUUCUAAAGCUAAAUAUUGGCCAGAGACCGAUAGCGCACAAGUAGAGUGAUCGAAAGAUGAAAAGCACUUUGAAAAGAGAGUUAAACAGCACGUGAAAUUGUUGAAAGGGAAGCGCUUGCGACCAGACUUGCGCCCGUCGGAUCAACCGUCGCUUGUCGGCGGCGCACUCCGGCGGGCUCAGGCCAGCAUCAGUUUUCCCGGGGGGAGAAAGGCGGUGGGAAUGUAGCUCCUAGGAGUGUUAUAGCCCGCCGCGUAAUACCCUCGGGGGGACUGAGGACCGCGCAUCUGCAAG
rnacentral:rRNA from 1 species